UGGGGAUGACGUCAAGUCCUCACUUGGCCCUUAUAGGUAGGGCUACACACGUCAUACAAUGGCUGGUACAAAGGGUUGCCAACCCGCGAGGGGGAGCUAAUACCCAUAAAGCCAGUCGUAGUCCGGAGUCGCAAGUCUGCAACUCGACUGCGUGAAGUCGGAAUCGCUAGUAAUCGUGGAUCAGAAUGUCACGGUGAAUACGUUCCCGGGUCUU
rnacentral:rRNA from 1 species